rnacentral:misc_RNA from 1 species
GCUCCGUUGGUGAACCAGCGGAGGGAUCAUUACCGAGUUUACAACUCCCAAACCCCAUGUGAACCUUACCAAACGUUGCUUCGGCGGGAUGCCCCGGGCGCGGGCCGCAAGGCCUCAGCCCCGGAACCAGGCGCCCGCCGGAGGCCCAAACCAAACUCUUGUUUUUGUAGAAUCUUCUGAGUGGCCUUUUAGGCAAAAAAUGAAUCAAGACUUUCAACAACGGAUCUCUUGGUUCUG